rnacentral:lncRNA from 1 species
UAACCAAAUUUUAUAAUUUUUUGAAUUAUACUAAAGUCCAUCAAGUGAGAAUAAAAUGGACAGUCAAAAUCAAACGAUCUUCUAAAAUUAGAGGAUAGAGUUCUUACAUUCAAGAUCGAUCUUAAUAUACAUAGUAAAUUCAAAAGCUUUUUCAUCAAUUCAAAAGCUUUUUCAUCGAAAACGAUUUAUAAGUAUAAAGACGAUCAUAUUCAUAAUAAUAUAUUAGCCGAACUCUAUAUAUGUGUAUAUUUUUACUUAUAUAUUUCAAAU